UCCGAUCAUCCUCUCGUGGCCGGCGCCUCUGUCUCAAUUUCAGGUAAGUGCAAAAUAACAAAGUUUUGAAGACCAGAACACCCAAAGAGCUGUUGAGAUUUGGAUUGUCAAGGGAGCUACAGAUCCAAAGACUACGGGAGAGAAAGAGUGAUUGAGCAAGAAGGAAUCAAAAAUGGUUAUGACCACUACUCCUCUGCUAAUCCGUUGCAGCAGAGCAGACUAUAUUCAUAUCCCAAAAUGUAUCCUUACAUCAGCAAAUACAAUCUAACCGUUGUGAAGGCUAAACCAAUGUGAAUAUGACACAUGGCUUUACAAAGCUUUACAGCCACUGAAAUAAGAAAAACAAUCCUAAGCCUUACACUUGGCAUAUGAGCUCAAGGUGCUCAGCUCACAGAUGACUUAAAUGGACUAAAUAUAAACUGACUAAGUACUUACUAACUAAUCAGAAAUUAGCUAGGCAGUUUACAUUUUAACACUCCCUUCUAAAGUGCUAGCUGAUUUGACUCCAAGCAUAUUCCUCAAGUAGCAGAACCUAUCUUUGGGAAGUGCCUUGGUGAAGAUGUCAGCAAUUUGCUCUUCUCCCUUGCAGUAGAGCAGUUCAAUCACUCCUUCUUGGAUUGCUUCUCUAAUAAAAUGGAACUUCCUCUUAAUGUGCUUGCUCCUUUGAUGAAACACAGGAUUUUUAGCCAUUGCUAUUGCUGAAGUGUUGUCACAGAACACAGUGGUUGCAGCAGUCUGUUCUUCUCCAAAGUCUUCAAGAACAAACCUGAGCCAAAUGGCUUGUGAUGUAGCUUCUGCAGCACUUACAUACUCUGCUUCUGCUGUUGAAAGGGCCACACUGUGUUGUUUGACUGAUGCCCACGAAAAUGCACCACUUCCAAAUGAAAAUGCAUAUCUGGAAGUGCUCUUCAUAUCUUCCUCUGAUCCACUCCAGUCACUAUCACAAUAUCCUACUAGAAGUGCAGACUUUCCAGUCACAUACUCAAUUCCAUAAUCAAUUGAGCCUUGUAUGUACCUUAGAACUCUUUUGGCUGCCCCAUAGUGCAUCUUAGAAGGAGUGUGCAUGAAUCUUGCAAGUAGACUAGCUGAAAACAUGAUAUCAGGUCUGGUUGCAGUUAGAUAUAGCAAGCUUCCUACAAUUUUUCUGUACAAGCUUUCAUCAGCUGCUUCACUUCCAUCUUCUCUUUGCAAUUUAUCAGUGGCAACUAAUGGAGUGCUCACUGAUUUGCAAUCCUUGAGUCCAAACUUAUCUAGGAGAGUGAGUGCAUACUUCUUUUGAUGGAUGAAAAUGCUCCCUUCAGUUUGUGUUACUCCCAUACCAAGAAAAUGAUGGAGUAAACCCAAGUCAGACAUUUCAUACUUGCACAUCAUCUCAGCCUUGAAUUCUUUCACCAUUUCAUCACUGCUUCCAGUAUAUACUAUGUCAUCUACAUAGAUUGAUAUAAUUAAUGUUCCCACACCUUCCUUGGUUCUCACAUAGAGAGUUGCUUCACUUGGACUUCUGUGAAAACCACACUGAUAUAAGUAAGUGUCGAUUUCACUGUACCAGGCCCUUGGAGCCUGCUUUAGUCCAUAGAGAGCUUUUCUUAGUCUGUACACCUUAUCCUCAGCUCCUUUAAUCACAAAGCCUUCAGGUUGAUCCACAUAGACUUCCUCUUCAAUAACACCAUUUAAGAAAGCUGAUUUGACAUCCAAUUGCCAUAAUUUCCAGCCUUUCUGUGCAGCUAGUGCAAUGAGAGUUCUAAUAGUGUCUAACCUUGCUACUGGAGCAAAGGUUUCAUUGAAAUCAAUCCCUGGUUUUUGUGUGUAACCCUUGGCUACAAGUCUUGCCUUGUGUUUUUGAAUGGAGCCAUCAAGAUUUAGUUUUGUUUUGUAUAUCCACUUCACUCCCACAAUUGGUUUGCUGCCUGGUCUAUCAACCAAUUUCCAAGUGGAAUUCUUCUCUAUCAUUGAUAUCUCUUCAAUCAUAGCUUUGUUCCAAGCUUCAUCUUUGGCUGCUUCAUGGUAACUCUCUGGUUCAAUAAUGCUCAGAUUACAUUGAGCAUAGACCUCACUUAAGUUCUUCCAUUUUUGUGGAGUAUGAUCAAAAGUUUCAGAGAUUGAAACUGAUGAAUCAUGUGUAGCAGAUUCCAGAGUGGUUUGCAGAUCAUUCACCUCUUGUGGUCUCUGAGGAGAUUGACCCGACUGAAGUGAUUCAUUUGAAUAUGAAUCAAUAUCUGAUAUUCUUGAACUUUCUUCUUCAUGCCAUGGAAUAGUCACUUGUACUUCUUCAUUCAAUUCCCAAUUCCACAUUGCUUUCUCAUCAAAGAUAAUGCUCCUUGAGAGUUCAAUCUUUUUAGUUUCUAGAUUAAAAACUCUAUACCCUUUCUCACAAAUCCCAUAUCUGAGAAAUACUCCCUUCAUUCCAGUUUCUUCUAGCUUGUGUCUUUUCUGAGUAGGAAUAUGAAUAUAGCACAGUGAACCAAAUAUUCUCAAGUGCUUGACACCUGGUUUUCUCCCACUGAACUUCUCGAAUGGAGUUGUAUUAUCCAGAGCACUUGUUGGACUUCUAUUUUGCAGGUAUACUGCUGUAUUGAUAGCUUCUGCCCAAAAUUUCAAAGGGAUUUUCUUCUCAUGCAUCAUUGUUCUUGCCAUUUCCAUCAGAGUACGAUUCUUUCUCUCUGCAACUCCAUUCUGUUGCGGAGAGUAGGCUAUAGUUAGUUGCCUUUCUAAUCCCAUCUCUUCACAAAACUUUGAAAAUUCCAAAGAUGUAUAUUCUCCACCUCUAUCACUUCUUAGCUUCUUAAUUUGAUAACCACUUUGCAACUCAACCAUGCUUUUGAACCUUUUGAAUAUGUUGAAUGCUUGAGACUUAUGCUGCAAGAAAAACACCCAACACAUUCUAGUGUGAUCAUCAAUGAAGGUGAGAAAGUAUCUAUUCCCUCCAAGAGUGAUAGACUGCAUUGGACCACAGAUAUCAGAGUGAAUCAGUUCUAGUGGUUGAGAGGCUCUCCAAGCUAUUUCCUUAUCAAAUGAACUUCUGUGACUCUUGCCUAUAGCACAACCCGAGCAAGUCUUCUUAGAUUCUUGUAACUUAGGUAGACCCUGAACCAUGUCUUUCUCUUGUAAGAGUCUCAAACUACCGUAGUUUAGAUGCCCGAAUCUUCUGUGCCACAAGCAAGAUGGUUCUCCAAAUGUUGCUCUAUUUGCCACAGGAGGAUUGACAUAUUUGAGAUCUAAGGGAAAACAUCUGUUCCCUUUCAUUUGAACCCUUGCAAUCAGCUCUUGCAGUUGCUUAUCUUCAUAAAUGUCAACCUCAUUAUCACCAAACACCAACCAAUGCCCAUGCUCUAUCAUCUGUCCUACACUCAACAGAUUCUCAUCCAGACCAGGUACAAUCAUGACUUCCCUAAUGAAUCUAGUAACCCCUUGCACAUCUAUAGCCAAAGUACCUUUGCCUAUUGAUUGCACUAAAUCACCAGUGCCCAUCUUAACUUUACAGUUCACAUUUCUAUCUAUAUCAAUAAGUAAGGACUCAUGAGCAGUCAUAUGAUUACUACAAGCACUGUCCACAUACCACACAUUCAUAUUUUUUUCAAUAGAAGCUGAAUGACAAGCAUAGAACAUAGUAGCAGGUUCUGUUACCUUGCUAGCCAAGUUUGCAAGUUUCUCAGUCUUAUUUGAUUGUUCACAGUCUUUAAUGAGAUGCCCAAAACGGUUGCACCCAUAGCACUUUGGCUUUCCUUUAAACUAGCAUUCUCCAUAGUGAAGCUUAUCACAGUGCUUGCAUUUCCCUUUUGCUUGAUCUGAUUUUUCCCCUGGUUCAUGCUUUCCUCCUUGGUUGCCACUAUUUUGAGGUUUUGAAUCCCAUUUCUUACCCUUCGAUUUCCAGCUCUUUUUUGAUUUAUUAUUACCAAAACCAGAGUUGGAUUGAGAUCCCUUUUGAUUUAUGCUCAUGCUGCUGAAGGCCUUCUCAGUGGUGUUCUCAGCAUGCCUAUCAAGGCGCUGAGCAAAACCCCUCAAUGCAGCAAUCACCUCUUGCACCUCAAUCAUUUCAAUAUCCUUAGUUUGUUCAAUUACAUAACAGACAGGAUCAAACUCCUUAGUCAGACUUAUAAGCAGUUUUUGAACUAACCUUCCUUUGGAUAGGUCUUCCCCAUAUCCCUUCAUCUGAUUCACAAGCUCAAGUAGGCGAGUGAGGUAUCCAGACAAGGUCUCAUCAUCCCUCAUCCUUGUAUACUCAAAAUCACGACGCAAACCCUGCAAUUUGAUAGAUCUGACCUGCUUAUCACCAUGAAAUUCCUGAUGUAAAAUAUCCCAUGCACCCUUUGAGGUUUCUUCAUUCGAAAUCCUUGGAAAAAUGUCUUCUGAGACAGCCCCUUGGAUAAUCCCAAGUGCCUUAGCAUCCUUCAUUAACAGAGCUUCCUUCUCAGAAUCCGAUGACCCAGCAUCAUCCACAUUCUUCCCCUUUGAAUCUGGAAUUUUAAGCCCAUUUUCAACUAAAUCCCAGAUUCCAUGAGAUUUGAAAAUCGUUCUCAUUCGAAUCUUCCAAAAUUCAUAGUUGUCCCCAUUGAAUAUUGGAGCUCUGAGAUCACUCCCUCCUGACCCAGCCAUCUGAGACAGAAUCAAUGAACUGAGUCGGAAAUUUCUCGUCGGAUUUCCAAGCUCAGCCCACACACAGCUUCAACGCCCACUACACAGAUCCAACCUUCGCUGCUGAUACCAUGUUGAGAUUUGGAUUGUCAAGGGAGCUACAGAGCCAAAGACUACGGGAGAGAAAGAGUGACUGAGCAAGAAGGAAUCAAAAAUGGUUAUGACCACUACUCCUCUGCUAAUCCGUUGCAGCAUAGCAGACUAUAUUCAUAUCCCAAAAUGUAUCCUUACAUCAGCAAAUACAAUCUAACCGUUGUGAAGGCUAAACCAAUGUGAAUAUGACACAUGGCUUUACAAAGCUUUACAGCCGCUGAAAUAAGAAAAACAAUCCUAAGCCUUACACUUGGCAUAUGAGCUCAAGGUGCUCAGCUCACAGAUGACUUAAAUGGACUAAAUAUAAACUGACUAAGUACUUACUAACUAAUCAGAAAUUAGCUAGGCAGUUUACAUUUUAACAAGAGCAUUAUUUCGUAUUUUUGUUGUUGGCUUUUAUGUUUACAGCCUCAUUUGCCAUUUUAAACCCACACAUUUUGUGUGUGCAUACUUAUAAGGAGCAGACUAUAUAUGCAGAUUGGGUUUCAAUUUGAUUUCCCUAGAGAUGCUGAAAGCAAACAGCCUUCAAAGGUUGUUUCUUUCCCCCUUUUUUAGUGUGAUAGAAGUUCCGUGGAGUUCAUAAUUGCAUAAAAGGAGUCAAAGUAGUGGCUGCGGCGGGUGGAGGCACUUCUUCGAAGGGCCCCGUCCGCCGGCCUGCCGGUCCGAUCUGGAGAAUUCAUGUUCCGGCAGGUGGGCUAGACAGAAUGGUUUCCACAAUAUAUGCAAAAUUAUUUCAAAUACCAAGAGGAAGCAAAAGUGGUUUCCCAUCCAUAAGAAAAAAUUUCAUUGGUUACUGUCAUUUUACAACAAAAAAAUCCAAAAUGGGCUGUUUCUUUUCAACCUCUAGAGAAUUAACUAUCUUCUAUCUAAUUGACCCCCCACAAAUUGAGGAUACAG
rnacentral:lncRNA from 1 species